rnacentral:rRNA from 1 species
GAUGAACGCUGGCGGCGUGCCUAAUACAUGCAAGUCGAACGCAUUGUGGUUGAAAUGAUAUGAAGAACUUGUUCAGAUUUGAUUUUCAACAUUGCAAUGAGUGGCGAACGGGUGAGUAACACGUGGGAAACCUACCUCUUAGCAGGGGAUAACAUUUGGAAACAAAUGCUAAUACCGUAUAAUAAUUAAAACCGCAUGGUUUUAGUUUAAAAGAAUGGUCUUGCUAUCACUAAGAGAUGGUCCCGCGGUGUAUUAGUUAGUUGGUGAGGUAAUGGCUCACCAAGACAAUGAUACAUAGCCGAGUUGAGAGAC